rnacentral:rRNA from 1 species
GCUAACUGAAAUCACAAAUUGAUGUGAAUCAUAGUGAUGUGGUAAGGGAAAAUAAUGAUAUUACCUUACUUAUAGUGUUGUCUAAAUCUGGUGCCAGAAGACUCGGUAAGACCAGAAACGCAAACGUUAAUCAUCAUAAUCAGGCGUAAAGGGUUUGUAGGCUGCUCUAACAAAAGAGCUAGAAUCAAAAAGAAGUUAAAAAGUAUAAUACUUAGAGAAGGGAUAAUAUCCUUAGAACCUAAGGGGAAUACUAAAGGUGUAAACAACUAACUAUAAAUGAUUGACGCUGAGACACGAAGGUGAGGACAGGAAAUAGGAUUAGAUACCCCGGUACCCCUCUCUGUAAACUAUGAAUGGUAGUCAUUAAAUUAAUAAUAUUUAGUGACGUAGUUAACACGUUAACCAUUCCGCCUUGGGAGUACGACUGCAAAGUUGAAAACAAAAAAAUUAGUCGGUCUCGGAGCAAACGGAGUGAAGCAUGU